AAUUGUGUUAAAUGUGUUAUGAGUAAGAAGCUUACUCAUAACUCAUAACGGUGAAAUACCACUACUCUUAUCGUUUUUCCACUUACCCAGUGAAGCGGGGCCCCAAGCGGGCCCUCGGCUCUGGCGUCAAGCGGCCGGCUCGCCCGGCCCGCGACCCGCUCAGUGGCAGGUGGGGAGUUUGACUGGGGCGGUACACCUGUCGAACGGUAAUGCAGGUGUCAAGGCGAGCUCAGGGAGGACAGAAACCUCCCGUGGAGCAGGCUUGGCACAUUACUUGUGUGUCCGUCUGUCUCCUGUUUGCAAACAUUAAAUAACCUGUUUUGAUGAUUUUACGCCGGUGUC
rnacentral:ncRNA from 1 species